rnacentral:rRNA from 1 species
UGGGGAAUAUUGGACAAUGGGCGAAAGCCUGAUCCAGCCAUGCCGCGUGUGUGAAGAAGGUCUUCGGAUUGUAAAGCACUUUAAGUUGGGAGGAAGGGCAGUAAGCGAAUACCUUGCUGUUUUGACGUUACCGACAGAAUAAGCACCGGCUAACUCUGUGCCAGCAGCCGCGGUAAUACAGAGGGUGCAAGCGUUAAUCGGAAUUACUGGGCGUAAAGCGCGCGUAGGUGGUUCGUUAAGUUGAAUGUGAAAGCCCCGGGCUCAACCUGGGAACUGCAUCCAAAACUGGCGAGCUAGAGUAGGGCAGAGGGUGGUGGAAUUUCCUGUGUAGCGAUGAAAUGCGUAGAUAUAGGAAGGAACACCAGUGCGAAGGCGACCACCUGGGCUCAUACUGACACUGAGGUGCGAAAGCGUGGGGAGCAAACAGG